GCAUUGGUGGUUCAGUGGCAUUCUAUGCUCGCCUGCCACGCGGGCGGCCCGUGUCCGAUUCCCGGCCGAUGCA
rnacentral:tRNA from 1 species